UACGUAGGUGGCGAGCGUUGUCCGGAUUUAUUGGGCGUAAAGAGCGUGUAGGCGGCCAGAUAGGUCUGCUGUGAAAACUCGAGGCUUAACCUCGAGAUGUCGGCGGAAACCAUCUGGCUAGAGUCCGGAAGAGGAGAGCGGAAUUCCUGGUGUAGCGGUGAAAUGCGCAGAUAUCAGGAAGAACACCCGUGGCGGAAGGCGGCUCUCUGGGACGGUACUGACGCUGAGACGCGAAAGCGUGGGUAGCAAACAGG
rnacentral:rRNA from 1 species